ACAGGUGGUGCAUGGUUGUCGUCAGCUCGUGUCGUGAGAUGUUGGGUUAAGUCCCGCAACGAGCGCAACCCUCGACCUUAGUUGCCAGCAUUCAGUUGGGCACUCUAGCGAGACUGCCGGUAAUAAACCGGAGGAAGGUGGGGAUGACGUCAAAUCAUCAUGCCCCUUAUGACCUGGGCUACACACGUGCUACAAUGGUUGGUACAACGAGUUGCGAGUCGGUGACGGCGAGCUAAUCUCUUAAAGCCAAUCUCAGUUCGGAUUGUAGGCUGCAACUCGCCUACAUGAAGUCGGAAUCGCUAGUAAUCGCGGAUCAGCACGCCGCGGUGAAUGCGUUCCCGGGCCUU
rnacentral:rRNA from 1 species